UACAGAGGGCUCAAGCGUUGUUCGGAUUCAUUGGGCGUAAAGGGUGCGUAGGCGGCGCGGUAAGUCGGGUGUGAAAUCUCGGAGCUUAACUCCGAAACUGCAUUCGAUACUGCCGUGCUUGAGGACUGGAGAGGAGACUGGAAUUUACGGUGUAGCGGUGAAAUGCGUAGAUAUCAGGAGGAACACCGAUGGCGAAGGCAGGUCACUGGGCCGCAACUGACGCUGAGGAGCGAAAGCAUGGGGAGCGAACAGG
rnacentral:rRNA from 1 species